AACGCGAAGAACCUUACCUGGGCUCGAAAUGUAGUGGAAUGGGGUGGAAACAUCCCCGUCUCGCAAGAGACUGCUAUAUAGGUGCUGCAUGGCUGUCGUCAGCUCGUGUCGUGAGAUGUUGGGUUAAGUCCCGCAACGAGCGCAACCCUUAUCCCUAGUUGCCAUCGGGUCAAGCCGGGCACUCUAGUGAAACCGCCUGGGAUAACCAGGAGGAAGGUGGGGAUGACGUCAAGUCCUCAUGGCCUUUAUGUCCAGGGCUACACACGUGCUACAAUGGUCGGUACAAACCGUCGCAAACCCGCGAGGGGGAGCUAAUCGGAAAAAGCCGGCCUCAGUUCGGAUUGGAGUCUGCAACCCGACUCCAUGAAGCUGGAAUCGCUAGUAAUCGCGGAUCAGAACGCCGCGGUGAAUACGUUCCCGGGCCUUGUA
rnacentral:rRNA from 1 species